rnacentral:hammerhead_ribozyme from 1 species
AUCCAGCUGACGAGCCUCAAAUAGGACGAAAGGUGCCUCCUAGAU